GGCUUCUUGUCACGCCCUAUCUUCACAUACUCCUCGAAUCGCUCCUUCAAGUCUUCUGGCAGAUUUGUGGUGCUCUUCCACCCCAGUAUGUCCUUUGCAGCCCUUGGUUCGGCGUAAAAGUGCUGCACAUAGGAAGGAUAAUGGUGAUUAUAUACUACAGUUCACAUCAGCUUUGCAUUUGUCUAAUCGGUGGAUUCAAGACGAAGAUAUCAUAAUGAUAUUUACCAUAUUACGGAAAGGAAAAGCUUUCUUUGCAUCGAUUCCAAUAGCUUUCGGAUCAUAAUGAACAAUUUCAACUGGUAAGCCAGCAGCUGCAGCACACAAUUUGGCCAUUCCAUCCAGAGUCACUGCCCGGUCACUCACACAAUUGAAGAUAUUACAACAUGCAGCUUCUGGCUUCUCAACAGCUAGGGUAAGCAUAGAGGACAAGUCCCAAACGUGGGCGAUGUUUGUAAGU
rnacentral:lncRNA from 1 species